rnacentral:rRNA from 1 species
CAGCCGCCGCGGUAAUACAGAGGGUGCGAGCGUUAAUCGGAUUUACUGGGCGUAAAGCGCGCGUAGGCGGCUUUUUAAGUCGGAUGUGAAAUCCCUGAGCUUAACUUAGGAAUUGCAUUCGAUACUGGGAAGCUAGAGUAUGGGAGAGGAUGGUAGAAUUCCAGGUGUAGCGGUGAAAUGCGUAGAGAUCUGGAGGAAUACCGAUGGCGAAGGCAGCCAUCUGGCCUAAUACUGACGCUGAGGUACGAAAGCAUGGGGAGCAAACAGGAUUAGAUACCCCCGUAGUCCCUGUCUCUUAUAC